GUAUAUCAGCCAUUGGGGCAGUGCCCUCUGCGUAUCCCACACUCAUCUCAGUGAAGCGUGUUGCCCAGGCGGGGCCAUCCCCUGUGUGUAUUUACACACCCCAGCCCUUGCACUGGGGCAGUGGCCACUGGUAGCCAGAGGAGUCGGUGCCCUAGGUAUGUUCUUCACUUCCCCCAAGGGGGCAGGGGCCUGGGUGUCAGGCAGUGCCUGCGUAUCUUCCAACGCCAUUGUGGCCGUGAGCCCUGCUCCUGGUGUGCGUCACUCCCCACUAGGGAUGUGCCCUGUUCGCCACGUGGGGCAGUGGCCUGUGUGUACCAUCUCCACUAGAGCAGUGACCGUUGGUGUCUUGGUGCUAAGAUGCAGCCACCUCUGGGUUACACAGUGGGGCUGUUUAUAGGCCAGUGGGGACAGGCCCCCUCUGUUCCAGGAAGUAGGGAAUAGCUGGAACUCGAGGCUGAGCGCUCCACCUUUAUGUACGUGUGACGCGCUGAGCACCUUUCCCCGACGUGAAGAAGACCCUGUGUGGCUCCAAAGCUGGUCCAGUAACAGCCACGCCUGGGCCCCGUGACACCAUGGGAGAUGUGGUGUCUCCUGCCUCCAUCUCCCAUCAGCCACUGCAAGGCCUGGCCCAGACUUCCCAUUUCCGGUGCGAGUCCGGAAGCAGAAGUUGCCAUGAGUUGGUGCCGGGAAGGGUGGUGCUGUUGUCAGGAGAAAGCAAGAGGAGUAGGUGGGGUCCGUGCUACCGUGGGGAGGUGCCGCCCUUGCUGUGAAAGGGCCCAGCUGUUGUGGGAGAUGUUGUCUCCCUGCCCUGCCACGCUCUGCACCAGCCCCUGCCUGUCACGGGAGGUGCAGGCUCCAGCCUGCAGAGCUGCAGCAGGGAACUUUGGAUGUGAGAUUGAAAUGGAGUUUUGGUGCCAUUAUUUUUUUAUUUCAAAACAGAACAAAACAAACCUAAUUUAUCUCAAACCUACAAACAGGAUUUUACAAACCAUGAGUGUGGUUUAGGUCCUUAAAACCUUACAUAAUUACACACAAAUAUUUACACACGCAAAUUCUUUUUUGCCUAAUAUCCCUUGCACUGCUUUAAUUAUUUUUUAUAAUACUGUACCCUGAUUACAUUCCCAGUUUGUAUAAUCGAACGCAGUCAAGUUAACUUUCAGUAGAAACCCCAUAUAUAUAGUGAUUUUGAUUACAAACAUUUCUGUGGGGAAAAUCAGCAGCGAAAUCAUCCGGCCCGAGCAUCAUGAGAUUUUCCCAGGGCCGCCCAAGUUGCCCGAGGCCCCUGGGCAUGGGCCCCCCAAGUUGCCCGAGGCCCCUGGGCAUGGGCCCCCUGUGCGUUAAUCCACCACUGCAAUGGCUGCGGAACUCAGGAUCCCGCUUCCCAGAAUGCCCGGAAUGCCGGGCGGAGACGGAACACGCGGGGAAGCGACCACCAGAGCCAAUCAGAAGCCAGCGCUCGGAGACAAAGGGCUCGGUUUACAGUCGGUUGUUGGCUGUUGGUGGAGUGGAGCGGAGGGAGGCGCAGCACAGCCUGGGAGGUGCCCACUGACACUGAGACUGAAGACCUGGAUGGUGUUAAAUUGGAGAGGGUGCAGAAAAGAGUCACACAAAUGACCUGAGAGCUGGAGAAAAUGACCUACAGUGAGAGACUCAGACUGUAGGUGGGUGAAAUUUAAUGGCCUGGAACAUUCAGGAGGUCAGAUGAGAUGAUCCAAUGGUGCCUUCGGGCCUUAAGCUCUAUGAAACUCUAUGAAGCAUCGCCUCCCUCCACCCCCCGCUCCGAUGUGCUUCACCGCACAGAAGGGUGGCCAGACAGCCUAGAAUGACUCUGCUCCAAAGCGGCCCUGGUGGAGAAGACAGUGGUGAGAGUGAGAGAUGAGUGAGAGACGGCUGUGGGGACCUGGCGGGAGGGCAGGAGACCUCGGACAAGGAGGGGGCUCCCCUGGGCAGGGCACUGGAGGGGACAGCAGAGAGCAAGUAUUCCUGGGGCUGAGGUCUGGGCACCGC